AAAAAUCAUAAAUGAGGUAAUUAACUAAUUAUCUUUCCAAAAAUCAUCAACAUAUUAAUUCAAACUUUGCAGCGGAUUAAAUUCAUUAACAUAAAUAAGUCUUUGGCACGCAGGCCUUAUUAAAAUAUACAUAAUACGUAAAGGAAUAGAAAAUAGCCACAAAAGAUCUCAUCCUGUUACGUAUCAGAGCAUCCUAAGACUCAGUGAGGAAUAAGUCACUCACGACAGCAACAGCAACAACCUAUUAACGAUCACCUGCAAGUUACUCAUAGGAAGAGCAACAUUUCCAAGCAGAAGGGGUGAGAUUUCACAAAACAAUAAUAUUAAGCAUAUAAUUCAACAAUUAUAUUUAAUCAACAUCAAAUCAUCUUAAUAUUCAUUAUAGAUAGUAAUAUAUCAUUUAGCACUUCAAUCAUAGUUUGCAUAAACAAUUACAACUUCACAACUUAUCAACAUAAACAUCCUUGACUCGAGAAAUGCGACUCCAACUCGACUAUGCAACUUAGACAUCUUAUAUGCAUGUGGUACCAAUACGGAGCAUCAAGCCCUUAUCGCUAUUUGAGUAUUAAUAUACUCCAGAGCAUCAAGCCCCUAUCGCUAUUUAAGUAUUAAUAUACUCCAGAGCAUCAAGCCCCUAUCGCUAUUUAAGUAUUAUUAUACUCCAGAGCAUCAAGCCCCCAACAAAGAAUGCUAAUGCAUGGACUCGACUUCUUAAACAUCUUAAAUCG
rnacentral:lncRNA from 1 species